GGAAGAAACUAGAAAGAAACGCGAGAGAGAGAGAGAGAGAGACAGAGAGAGAGGGGGAAGGAAAUGGAGAGAAGAGAAAGUCCAGAGACAAGAAGAGAGGAAAUCGAUCACGGAAGAGACUGUCUUCCGUCGUCUACGCCGGUCGUCGGCCGGCGGCCAUAAGAAAGUCCGUCGUCCCUAAUCAUCCGUUUUAGAAGAAGAUCGAGAGAAAGGAGAAAAACCAACGCUUUGCCCGGCCUUCGUUCUGCUCUGCUCUGCUCUGCCCACCGGACCCCUGAUAUCAACUAUGUCGAUGCAUUGUUAUUUCACUUGCCAUCCAUUGCUGUUUGAACCUUGCCGAGCUUAAUAUUUUAUUUCCUUCCUAUGUGAGGACUUUGAGCCUAGAGCAUUCGAUAUUUAUAUAUAUAUUUUUUUCAUGUGUGAUGUUAGAUCUAAAUUGGCAUUCUAGAACUUGCCUCGAAAUGCAUGUUGAACACACAUGAGGACCUGAUAUAAGUAAGAUGACGGGGGCAUUAGGUAUACCUACUUGGCUUAAAUUAUCCUACCCAAAAAUUUUAUCCACUAGUUAACACCGUUGAGCCUUUUGAAAACCUUUUCAUUCUUCAAUCAAUCAUUAAUCCUUUAGCCAUAUACCAUUUUUUGGAUUUAUACCUUAUAUUGAUCCUUGUGUCGAAGGAAGAGUGGAAGUUUUAUGGCUAUCAUUUAUAUUCUUCUUGUAUAAAGUGUAGAAAGGGAAAGUAUAGUGUUGUUGAUGUUUACAAAAAGGAAAAUAAAACAAAGGGGCUAAACCCCAACAAAACAAAACAAAAAAAAAAAAAAAGCAAAACAAAAAACAAAGUGCUGAAACAAGAAAACAAAAAGAAGCAGCACAAAAAAGUAAAAAAAAAAAAAAAACAAAAGAAACAAAAAUGAGUGGAGUUACGGUUACCAAUGUAAUGUUGAUUUCAAUUCUUACAAGUGAUAUGCUUUAAUUCUUUCCAUUGUUGUUUCGACACUUUUUAGCCGUUCAUUAUCCUUUUUUCUACCUAUACCCCGAGCCCCAUUACACCUGUUUAAAGACCCCCUGAUACUUGUCAUUAGGUCCCUUAAGUGAGGGAGAUAUGAUUGACAUGCAAGCCUAUGGGAUUGCCAUUUUUAUGAUUUAACUUGAGUGCAUACACUAACCCAUGGUGAGGUUUGUUGAGCUCAGCUUGGUUCACUCAUUAUUAUUAUCCAUUUAGCUGUGAUGCCGGGUGAAAGAUUGGAGUGCAUUGGUCAAGUACCACAAUGGAAAUGCAGUGCCUACUCAAAGAAAUGAACAAAAAGACGGAGAGAAAAAAAAAAUCAGAAAAAAAAGAACUGAAAAAAAGGAAGAAAAUAAAAAAGAGAAAAAAGAAAAAGAAAAGCAAAAAAAGAAAGUCAGUGCAGAUGUCGAACCUGUUGGUGGCUGUGAAAGAAAACAUGAAAACAAAGAAGCAAAGGAACUCAUUAGGUCAAAACAUCCUAUGUCGGCCUUCAUCUACUCACACGAGUGCCAAGCUGCAUUAAUUGUAGAAAAUAAGAACAUUGUGGAGGUUUUGAAGACCUUCGGUGAGGGUUGGACAUGCAAUACUUACCCAAAAAAAGUAAAAUAAAUAAAAGAACAAAAGAAAAAAAAAAAUGAAACAAAAGAGAAAGCCAAUCCAAAUGCUCACUUCAUAGAGAUGUCGAACUUUUUUGGGGCAAAAUGGAAGACAAUUAAUGAAGUCGUGAAGGAAAACAAGAAAACUAAAUAGCAAGGAAAAGGACAUAUUAAAGCCAAAACAUCCUAUGUCAUGUCUCUAUCUACUUGAACAAACGGUGAACUACAUUGAUUGAAGAGAAUAAGAACAUUAUUGAGAUUGUGUCGGUGAAGAAAGGACAUGAAGAAUGUGCUUAAUAGUACGGUCUGGCUAUUCUUUUGAAGUUGAGAAGAGAUAUUCAUCCUCUUUUGGAUGCCAAAGCUGAAAAGGUAAGUGUUUGGGCAGGAUGUAGUCUAUCGUUGGCUUAAUUACAUCUCAUUAAUAUUUUCUUUAUAAUGCAACACCACAAUGGACAUACAGUGCCUACCCAGAAAAACGAAAAGAAAAAAGAAAGAAAGAAAAAAAAAAUCUGAAAAAAAAAGGUUAAAAAAAGCAUAAAUGAAAAAAAAAUAGAGAAAAAAGAAAAAGAAAGAUAAAAAGCAUAAAAGUUAAAAAAAAAAAAAAAAAAAAGAAAGCUAUGAAAGAAAAAAAGAAAAAAAAGGUGGGUAUACAUGAAUUUGUUUACUUUUACUAAAUCCUAUUGGUUGUUAGUUUGUUAUACAAUCAUAUAUGGUUCUUCUACAGAGAAGGACCCAUUACGGCCGAAACAUCCCAUGUUGGCCUUCAUCUACUCGAACAAGUGCCGAGCUACAUUGAUUUUAGAGAAUAAGAACAUUGUGGAGGUUUUGAAGACCGGCAGUGAGGGGUGGACAUGCAAUACUUACCCAAGGAAAGUAAAAUAAGUAAAAAAGAAGAAAAGAUAAACAGAAAAGAAAGCCAAUCCAAAUGCUCACUUCAAAGAGAUGUCGAACUUGUUGGGGGCAAAAUGGAAGACAAUUAGUGAAAUCGUGAAAGAAAACAAGAAAACUAAAAUAGGAUGGAAAAGGACAUAUUAAAGCCAAAACAUCCUAUGUCAGGACUCCAUCUACUCGAACAAGCGGUGAGCUACAUUGAUUGAAGAGAAUAAGAACAUUGUUGAGAUUGUGCCGUUGAAGAAAGGACAUGAAGAAUGUGCUUAAAAGUACGAAAGGAAAAAUACCCGUUAAAGCCGAAACGUCCUAUCUCAGCCUUCUUCUACUCAAACAAGUGGCGAGCUAUAUUGAUCGAAGAGAAUAAGAACAUUGUCGAGAUUGUGAAGAUGUGAGGGAUGGACAUGAAGAAUAUGCUUCAAAAGUAUGGUUUUGCUACUUUGUUGAAGUUGAGAAGAGAUAUUCAUCCUCUUUUGGAUGCCAAAGCUAAAAAGGUAAGUGUUUGGGCGGGAGAUGGUUUAUCGUUGGCCUUAUUUUGUGUUACAGUUUGCAAGUUUGUGCUUUUUUUGUUGUUGUUCUUACUGUAUUAUUUUGCAAAGAGAUCAAUAAAAAAGGUUGAGAAAAAGAAAAGAAAAAAAAAAGAAAAGAAAAGAGCUGGAAAAGUGGAAAAUUUUUUGAAAAAAAAGGGAAACAAAGAUGAAAAGAUUAAGGAAAAAAAAAUGAAAAAUGAAAAAAAAAAAGAAAGAGAAGAAAAAAAUUGAAAAAAAAGCCAAUCAGAUGUUGACCUUAAGGAGAUGUUGAACCUGCUGGUGGCAAAAUGGAAAACAAGUCGCGAAAGAGAACAAGAAAACAAAGUAGGAAGAAAAAGAACUCAUUAAGCAGGAACAUCCUAUAUCACACUGAUUUCAGAGAACAAGAAUAUUUUGGAGUUGAAAAAUAGGUUGUAAAGACAGCUGGUGAGGUUGGACAUGCAGGACUUACGCAAGGAAAAAAAAAACGAAAAAAGAAGAACUACAAAGAGAGAAGGGUCAAUGCUGAAAUGUUGCGCACUUAUGCUAUUGACCUGCUGACUGCAUGCUUGGAGAAUGGUGGUCAGUUAGUGGAAGAUGUGUUGACAUAAUGUGAUAUCUACGAGUACGGUUAACACAAACCAAAAGCUUCUAAGGUAUUGUUUGACAACAAAAGUGUGUCUAGCAUGGCUCUAAAGGCCAAAGAGGAUGGCAGGGGUAAGUCAAAGCAAGUGACAGAGAGUUUUCACAUGGAUACUGAGACUAUCAGAGCCCAUCCCACUGAGAGUGAACGUGAAAAAGAUCGCACAUCUAUGGACAACCUUGAUUGAGAUGAUGAGAGGUGUGGCAAUAGGCAAACAUAUGGGGAUAUGUACUGGGGUGAUGAGGAACAUCUUGAUAGUGUAGCUCCUGAGGUUGAUGCAUAUGAUGCUGAAGCAGAUAGUGACGAGAAGUGGGAUCUCUGCCAGUCAAAAGAAAAACCUGGUGGAAAAUCUCAUGGGGAAGAAGACUUUGAAGGAGUAUCGAUGGCGAUCAAGAGGUAGGUCCAAUGAAGGAGUUUCUGAGACAUUACUGAGUUGGUUAUGAAAGCAGUCGGAGCUGCUGAGCCGAAGCAAGAACAGACCAUGCACCUGCCUGUGCCAUUAAGGCUGCAGGUGCUGCUGCUGCUGAGGUCGUUAAGACAGCUGAUUAGAGUGCAGGAAUACAAGAAGACGAAUGACGAAGAAGCUAUUGUGGUUGCUGCAUCCAGAUCUUCAUCACACUGUUAUGGAUGCUGCCAGUGCAGUUGCUCUUGCAAGAAUUCAAAGCCAUGAAUUUGCUGAAUUUUCUAUUCCUGGUGGUCAUUCCCUUCUGAAGUUGAGAGAGAAAUUCUGUAUCCAGUGUCUGGUGUUUCUUGGGGAGUAUGUUGAAGUUCUUGGUUCUGUACUCCAUGAGAAGGAGUAAAUGUAUGCCUUGCACUACUGCAGCGAAGUCUUAAGCUCGAAGAAACACCCUACACUAAAUUCCUUAUGAAUGAACUUUGAAGCUAAUAUGUGCAUUGGCUGCUCACAGAAAGUUUUCUGCAUUGUUUGUUGAUUGCGGUGGCAUGGACAGACUCCCUGCGACUCCUAGAAAUGCCCAUACAUAUGUGGGUCUCUCUUCCUGCUUAUGAACUAUUGGUUCAAUUCAGGUGAUAAUGAAGUGUGUUUGUUCUCUUCCGCCAAAUAUUGUCCAUCAGAUUGUUAAGUUGGCUGGAACUGCGACAAUAAAUCAGGGCACAUCUCCUCUUGCUUGUGGAGUCUAUUCAACCUAACGAUGGUGAUGGCUAUGAUGAACCUGAGAUUGUUGAACCAGCAUUGAAUUUGUUAAUAAAUCUUGUGUGCCAUCCUUCAUCAAUAAGCAAUAAGCCAAGUCUCAUGCAAGGUCAGCAAUACGGAAAUCAAUCUGCUAUAAACUCCAGGGACAAAUUCAGAGAGGAAUUUCCCAGAGCGUGGUCUAAAUCAGAAUGAAUCAAGGGUUCGAACUGGGGAACUGACACCUAUGCCAUCAUCUGUUGGUAACACUUCAUCAUAACAGGAAUCUGCUUCAUUAGUUGCUUCUGGUUUAGUUGGAGAUCGCAGGAUUUCGUGCUUGGCUUGGUGCUCAGCUUGAACAAGGAUAUCGUCAAGCUAGAGAAGCUGUUCGUGUAAAGCAUGCUUCUUCAGCUUCUCCAACCUCGAAUGGUGACAUCCCCUGCAGCUCUUGAUUGUCUUCGUGCUCUUACAUGCCGAGUACUUUAGCAGCUAGUGAUGCGGCAACUCCCACUUUGAGACCAUUGAAAGAGGAGCAGCCAUUGCUGCUGCUACUCCAGUUUCUUAUCAUUCUAGGGCUUAUCCAUGAGCACCUUCAAUUAUCUGGAUUAGUUUAUCACCAAUGCCAUCCUUGGAUGCUCCAUCAUCUUUAGCACAACACGCAUCUGGGCAGGAGUUGUCAUCAAUACAAAUAGAAUGGCCAUCUGAAAUAGCAACUUGUGGAUUCUUGUUGGAUAGACCAAACUGGUGAACAUACACUCAGACCAUAUGGAUUCGAACUUGUUAUGCACACCAUCUGUUGAGAGUUUGCUAACCAGUCCGACCUAUUUAUCCUCAUGUCUGCCCUGAGCCAAGCAUUCAAUGUUUGCAUCACUGCCAUCAGAUUCAUCCCGGCGUUAAAUCCUUGUGUAUGAUGAUAUCCAGUCUUGUCAAUUGGAUCUGACACUGACUGAUACUUCUAAUAACCCGUCUGGACAUGAUCAUGGAUGUGAUCAUUCAUAUUGACUCAAUGCUGCUUUGGAAUGGAGUUUUGUGGGAUCGCAAGACCAAUUCAUCGAUUUUAUCAAUUUACUGCCUAUGAUGGUGGGGGCUACCAUUCUGCUGGGAAUGAGAUUGUUGAACCAGCGUUGAAUUUGUUAAUAAACCUUGUGUGCCCUCCUUCAUGAAUAAGCAAUAAGCCAAGUCUCAUGCAAGGUCAGCAAGCUUCUUCUACCCAAGCUGGAAUCAAUCUGCUAUAAACUCCAGGGACAGAAAUUCAGAGAGGAAUGUCCCAGAGGUGGUCCAAAUCAGAAUGAAUCAAGGGAUCAAACUGGGGAACUGACACCUAUGCCAUCAUCUGUUGGUAACACUUCAUCAUCACAGGCAUCUGCUUCAUUAGUUGCUUCUGGUUUAGUUGGAGAUCGCAGGAUUUCAUGCUUGGACAAGGAUAUCGUAAAGCUAGAGAAGCGUUCGUUCAAGGCAUGGUAUAAAGGUUCUUCAGCUUCUCCAAUCUCGAAUGGUGACAUCCCCUGCAGCUCUUGAUUGUCUUCGUGCUCUUACAUGCCGAGUGCUUUUAGGUUGAUGCUA